GGUUGACCUCGGAUCAGGUAGGGAUACCCGCUGAACUUAAGCAUAUCAAUAAGCGGAGGAAAAGAAACCAACAGGGAUUGCCUCAGUAACGGCGAGUGAAGCGGCAACAGCUCAAAUUUGAAAUCUGGCCCUUCUGGGGUCCGAGUUGUAAUUUGUAGAGGAUGCUUCGGGCAAGGSCUGUGGUCUAAUUCGCUUGGAACAGCGGGUCAAAGAGGGUGAGAAUCCCGUCUAGGAUCGUACGCCGCGUCCAUGUGAAGCUCCUUCGACGAGUCGAGUUGUUUGGGAAUGCAGCUCUAAAUGGGUGGUAAAUUUCAUCUAAAGCUAAAUAUUGGCCAGAGACCGAUAGCGCACAAGUAGAGUGAUCGAAAGAUGAAAAGCACUUUGAAAAGAGAGUUAAACAGUAUGUGAAAUUGUUGAAAGGGAAGCGCUUGCAAUCAGACUUGUGGCUGACGGUUCCCCCGGUCCUCGUGGCCGGACUACUCCGUCGUGUCCAGGCCAACAUCGGUCUGGGUGGCCGGUUAAAGACCCCGGGAAUGUAUCAACCUUCGGGUCGACUUAUAGCCCGGGGUGGAAUGCGGCCCACCCGGACCGAGGAACGCGCUUCGGCUCGGAUGUUGGCGUAAUGGUUGCAAGCGGCCCGUCUUGAAACACGGACCAAGGAGUCUAACAUCUAUGCGAGUGUUUGGGUGUCAAACCCCUACGCGGAAUGAAAGUGAACGGAGGUAAGAACCCGCAAGGGCGCAUUAUCGACCGAUCCUGAUGUCUUCGGAUGGAUUUGAGUAAGAGCAUAGCUGUUGGGACCCGAAAGAUGGUGAACUAUGCCUGAAUAGGGUGAAGCCAGAGGAAACUCUGGUGGAGGCUCGCAGCGGUUCUGACGUGCAAAUCGAUCGUCAAAUUUGGGCAUAGGGGCGAAAGACUAAUCGAACCAUGGUAACAGAGUGCCUAGGAGCGCCCGUCUAGGGCCUAUCAGGUGGUUCUCAACAGUCCUUCGGGGCAACAUCGUCCCUCUGGCGGGGUCACACCCGCAGCAGCCCCGGCUGUCCACAGACUAGGA
rnacentral:rRNA from 1 species